AACCAUUUACCCUUUACAAGGUUCUACAUCUGCCGUCCAAUUUUGUAACUUUCUCACACGGAUCAAGAUCUGGACCGUCCAUUUGACUUCACACGGAUCACCAAUUGCUUUCUCUCUCAAUGCUCACACAUCUCACAAAACAACAUCAGAUCUUCUCUCUCUCUUCUCUCUCUCUUCUCGGCGAUCUAGGGUUUCAUGACCGCCCGUUGUGGAGAAUUUCAAAGACUUGAGCUCUGCGACUGCCAUGGAUCUGCCGGAAUAUGCAUCUCGAAGUUGUAAUCGGAAAGAAAGCGAGGUGUUUGUGCUGUAAAGGCGGAGUCAUUCCAGCUGCUGCUCACAUACUUUUUAUGAAUAAAAAGUUAGGGUCAAUUUGACUGAAUAUGAUGAUAAACAUGGAUUUGUUUUUGAUGCUGUGAUGAAUAAAGUGUCACAAAUGAUAAAGUGGGUAUAUAAAAUUGUGUCUUCAUCUUCACAUUCUAAUCCGGCGACAUCGAGCAAAUCCAGGAUGAGGGUAGUGCUUCCAACAGCCGAUAAUCACUGCAGACAUAAACCACACAUAACCAAGAAAAAAGGUAACAUUUUUAGGGUACAUCAGCUCAUUCGAAAGGAUUUUUUGAAGGCAUUGCUAUUUGGUUUCUUGGAUUCCAUCUCGAUUUCAAUGGUUUGGGGUUUUAUUCGGCUAUUGGUUACCAAAAAGGUCUUUAGUGAAAUCAGCUUUGGUAACUACCUAAUGUGGAUGUUGUGAAGGCUCGGUUCUAUUUCAGCAAUUGAUAUCCGGGAACAGCUACGGUCAGGCUAUGGUAUGUGUUAUGUCUUAUCACAAUUAUAGAAAGGUAAUGUCAAGUCUCACUCUAACAGGUCAAGUGGAACGGGAGUCGUCCAAAUUAUGUCUUUAAUGAAUAAACCAACUAACUCGCUUAACGUGUUGUUUUGGGUGCACUUAACAGGUUCGUGGGUGACAUGUUUAGCCCGUUUAAUUUUUAUAAACAAAUAAAAUUAUUUUUAUAACAAUUUUUAAAAGAUAAAAAGAGAACUGAAGGGUGAUGUGAUACUUCUACAUGCAAAUGAAUGAAGUUAGAAUUUCUAGGAGGGUGGUAUUGCAGUUCUUUCAGCCCCCAGACCUGGAACAGGUUUGAUUUUAUGUCUCAGUUUGAACUCAGAUUUCUUGAAUCAAUUUUCUGUGGUGUUAAUUUCUUGAAUGAGUUUUGUUGUGAGAAGAUGGAAAUGGAAUUAAGAUUGGAGAAGAAAUGCACAGAGGAGUUAGAUGACGCACUCAUGAGGUCGAUUAAUGGUCAUGGUAGAAUGGUGGAACAUUAUGCUGAUUUGCAGGAAGAAGUAUAAUGAACUGGUGGAGAAACACCGGUUGAUUCUUGAAUGGAUAGCGGAGGUGAAACGGGUUGCGGCUAAAGCCGGAACGAAAGGUCAUGGGAAUCGGUUUUCGAAGUCGUUGGCAGCUGGUGAAGUUCUUGUUAGGUUGAGAGAAGCUGAGGAAGCAGCAACAGAUGCACAUGGGCAUCUCGGGCUCAGAAGCAUCUCUGUCAAUCUUCAUCUCUGUCAGAUUAGCUCAAUAGGCGAAGCUUACCGAAGCCCAACUCAAUAUUAAGAGCACCGGGGAUGGAUGAGCUGAAGGUUUCAUUGUGCAGACCAUCUCAAAUAUGUGAGGGUGUCUCAAUUUGGGAAUGGUCAGGAUUGGCUUGGGAUGAGGGAGAUGAAGCAUCUAAAUGGUUCAUUAAUUAUCUUGGCAAGCCAAGUCGGUUAAUGUGUUUUAAUGAAGUAGCAGGACCCUUCACGAUGCACUACACUCCGAUGACGGUUACAAAAAGAAAUUUUCAUGGAAUGCGCGCAUCCGAAUGGCACUUGGAGUUGCAAGAGCCUUAGAAUAUCUACACGACUUUAGCGAGCCACCUAUUAUUCACAGAAACUUCAAGUCUGCAAAUGUUCUUCUCGAUGAAGAUCUUUCUGUGCAUGUCUCUGAUUUGCGGUUUAGCUCCGUUAAUAUCCCGUGGCUCAGUAAGUCAGGCGGUUGUAGCCGUCUGUUGAUUCAUGAUUUGGUGAAGCUCCAGUGACUAGGCUCUUUUCGGAGAAGCAGCAAUUACAAGGCUCGCUUCUGCAUGUUCUGUUGUAGAACGGAUUCAUGAUUUUCCAAGAAGUUGUUGGAUCUGUGGUGGUGUUUGGUAGUUAGGUGGCCAUUGAGAUCCUACAGGGGCAAUUUGGUAAUUAAUCGUAAGUAUGAAGUCCUAUAAUAUGUUGUCAAAGGUGCACUAGGCGCCUGUCUAGGUGCUCAGGUGAUGUGCAGCGCCGAAAAAGGUCGUUAUGGCAGUCCAGGCGUAGUUUUGGCAAAAAUCUGCAAAUUCUGGUUAGUUGGAGUGGCUUUGGAGAAGAUAGAAGUUUAUACAACCGGUUAAACCGUCCGGUACACCCGGUUGAACCGUCCGAUACACCUGGUUGAACCGCUUCUAAGCCCGGCCCAGUACGGAAUAAAAACCAGUUUUUAAAACAUUGGUUUCUACAACUCAGCUGCCGGCAACAACCCCGGUACACUGGUGAAGGCUGUCACACUUUGUUGUGGUGAUAUCAGACCAGAAGAUUGUGAGGACUUUGUGAAGAAAGAGGCGGCCGCGUGGUACAUGACUUCUAUGCAAUGACAUGAUACUGUAAACAAGAGAUCCAACGAAGAAGUGCAGGGUAGAAAGGUCACGGAACUACAUAUCAUCAUCUUGGACCCUUUAAAUGAUUUAAAUUAUUAGAAGGAUUUUAUAUUUGUUUAUUGCUUUGAAUGUUUCAUCUCCUUUUAGUGAAACAAAUGUGAAAAUUUCAAUAGACAACAUAUUUUACUGUUA